ensembl:processed_transcript
AGGUACUCCAUUGUCUGACGGAUCUGAGAACGCUGUCUGGGCUUCGUGCCAAGGGCUGGUAUUCACACAGCAACGACGGCCUCACAGAAGAGCUGUGGGAAGCAGGAGGGCGAGCCUCUCUUAGGGUGCCACUACUAUGGAGACACAGCUGGGCUGAACAAGAUUUGCUUCAAACGACAACAAGAGAGACAGAAAGUAUCUGAUUCAACCGCUGCCCAAGCAGGCAGGCACCAGAAGAGCUAGCAGCCAAUCCGGCCAUGCUCGAAGCCAGUCCUGCAGCUCAGCCAAUCAGUGACAUCAUUGGACAUCUCUUCAGAUUGCUCAUCAUGAUAUGAAGAUGAAACUUAAUAGCAAUAACCAAUGGAUGCUUUUCUUGGAUUCAGUCCAACACUCUGGAGACCAGAUCUUCAGGAAUGUAACUGGGAUAAUUGUCCAAAUUGAAUCCCAUACCCUGUCAUGCAUACCAGAAUAGGAGUCCUGUCUUAACUGAGCAAUAUACACUAUGGAGAGAUCCUUCAAAACCCGUCGGGACGAAUAACAGAUGAAUUCAUAAAACUGUUCAUCUCUGUUAUCCUGAAUGGUCACUCAGACAACAUUUUACUCAACUAUAAAGGGGAACACUUAAAGUGCAUAUGAGAAGAGAAGAGAAUGACCACAGGAGAAAAUCAU